rnacentral:rRNA from 1 species
UACGUAGGGGGCAAGCGUUGUCCGGAAUCAUUGGGCGUAAAGCGCGUGUAGGCGGCCCGGUAAGUCCGCUGUGAAAGUCGGGGGCUCAACCCUCGGAUGCCGGUGGAUACUGUCGGGCUAGAGUCCGGAAGAGGCGAGUGGAAUUCCCGGUGUAGCGGUGAAAUGCGCAGAUAUCGGGAGGAACACCAAUUGCGAAGGCAGCUCGCUGGGACGUUACUGACGCUGAGACGCGAAAGCGUGGG